UGCGCGUUCAUUUUUCAAAUUUAUAUAUCUAUAAGCAUUACGAGGGUGUCACAAGUGGAACAGGAUUUGCUUAUCUUCUGCAGAGCACUCGAAAUUACCCUCAGUUUUUGGUGCGGUUCAUGUUGCUCAGUUUUAGUCAUUUUUCAUUUUCUUUUGCUAGUUUUUCGUCGGAGACAUGAGGGGUUGCGAUGGCAUUUAUUAAAAUGCGUGGUAAAAUUUAAUAAUUCCACGACCUCACAACAUUCUUGAUUUCGAUUCUCAUAUGGAAUAUACAUUGUAUAUAUACAAAA
rnacentral:lncRNA from 1 species